rnacentral:rRNA from 1 species
GAUGAACGCUAGCUACAGGCUUAACACAUGCAAGUCGAGGGGUAACGAGAGGAAAGCUUGCUUUCCUUGUCGACGACCGGCGCACGGGUGAGUAACGCGUAUCCAACCUGCCCCCAACUAGGGAAUAACCUUGCGAAAGUAAGACUAAUACCCUAUAAUUUCCUCAGAUGCCAUCUGACGAGGAAUAAAGAUUUAUCGGUUGUGGAUGGGGAUGCGUCUGAUUAGCUUGUUGGCGGGGUAACGGCCCACCAAGGCAACGAUCAGUAGGGGUUCGGAGAGGAAGGUCCCCCACAUUGGAACUGAGACACGGUCCAAACUCCUACGGGAGGCAGCAGUGAGGAAUAUUGGUCAAUGGGCGGAAGCCUGAACCAGCCAAGUAGCGUGCAGGAUGACGGCCCUAUGGGUUGUAAACUGCUUUUAUACAGGAAUAAAGUUAGCCACGUGUGGUUAUUUGUAGGUACUGUAUGAAUAAGGACCGGCUAAUUCCGUGCCAGCAGCCGCCGUAA